GAUGAACGCUGGCGGCGUGCUUAACACAUGCAAGUCGAACGAGAAGUGAAGACGGAAACCUUCGGGCGGAAGGCUUUAUUUCGAGUGGCGGACGGGUGAGUAACGCGUGGGUAACCUGCCUCAUACAGGGGGAUAACAGUUUGAAACGACUGUUAAUACCGCAUAAGACCACAGCACCGCAUGGUGCGGGGGUAAAAACUCCGGUGGUAUGAGAUGGACCCGCGUUCGAUUAGCCAGUUGGCGGGGUAACGGCCCACCAAAGCGACGAUCGAUAGCCGAUCUGAGAAGAUGACCGGCCACAUUGGGACUGAGACACGGCCCAAACUCCUACGGGAGGCAGCAGUGGGGAAUAUUGCACAAUGGGGGAAACCCUGAUGCAGCGGCGCCGCGUGAGUGAAGAAGUAUUUCGGUAUGUAAAGCUCUAUCAGCAGGGAAGAAAAUGACGGUACCUGAGUAAGAAGCCCCGGCUAACUACGUG
rnacentral:rRNA from 1 species